CCUCAGCCCCAUCCUGACCCUGCUGCCCCUGGGGGACGACACCAAGAACCGAAUCAUCCGGACCCAGGGGGUUCUGCUGCUGCUCUGUGUGGGGGGACCCGGACUCCUUCCUGCUCUUCAGGAAGCGUUGGGCCAACGAGCAGCUGGAGCAGAGCAAGAAAAGGGAAAGUGAGGAGGAGAGGAUCUACGAGGGUCUGGACCUGGCAGAGUGCUCCAUGUACG